GUCAAAUGCUCUGGAGCCUUCUGAAAUGGGUUUUUAUUUGAUCAUUUGGAUGGAUCACUUUCCGAAAAAAAUAAAAAAAUUUCUUUUGGAGCUUAGUCAUAAAGCUAUAAACACUGUCGAUCGUCUCCAACGUCGUAUGCCUUGCUUUUGGUUGGUCUAUUGCCUUGUCCAAUGACAUUUUGGACAUCCUUAACUCUUAUGGUGGGUCACCUAUUUAUUGGUUGCAAGAAGGUUAUUUGGCUGGCUAUUCUUCGUGCUUUCUUUUGGACCUCAUGGGGCGUGCAUAAUGGACAUCUUUUUCAAGACUCUUUUUCAUCUUUUAGUUCUUUUUUUGACAUGGUAUUGUCCAAGGCUUUUUAUUGGUGCAAAUUUGGGCACCCUUUUAAGAACCUUAGCUUAUUGGUCUUAGUUGCCAAUUGGCGCUCUUUUUGUAAUCACCUUUAGGUGCUUGGGGUUCUCCUUAUUUCAUUUUAUGAAUGAAAUGUUUGUUUCUUAUAAAAGAAAUACUUUAUCUACUUGCUCAAAGAGGAGAUUUAGUUUUGGGGGUGGGGGAGGUGAGUUGUUCAUGACGAUUAACGCUGAUAGAUUAGUUGGGAUAUAUUGCCAUUAUUAUAUAGUUUGUUGGCUAGUUAAGUAAGUUACUGCCUAGCCAACUGUAUGUAGUCAGUCCAAGAUGCUGUUAAGUUGACGGAGGGGCUGCCAUAGUCAGAUAAUUCUGAAUUCCAAAAAUAUAUAAUUCAAAUAUAUUUCUAUCAUUUUCAAGUAUUUUGUAACAAGAAUCAAUUUUCAACCAUUGAUGGCUGUAAAGUUACAACAUCUUGAAUAAAACAAGCUCCUUUUGUGGAGUGUGGAUAAAAAAUAAAAUAAAAAAACAUUCCUUCUAAAAA